GACAGAGGGGCAAGCGUUGCUCGGAAUCACUGGGCGUAAAGGGCGCGUAGGCGGCCUGGCAAGUGGAAGGUGAAAUCCCUCGGCUUAACCGAGGAACUGCCCUCCAAACUGCUUGGCUUGAGUCCGGGAGAGGUGAGUGGAAUUCCCAGUGUAGCGGUGAAAUGCGUAGAUAUUGGGAGGAACACCAGUGGCGAAGGCGGCUCACUGGACCGGAACUGACGCUGAGGCGCGAAAGCGUGGGAGCAAACGGG
rnacentral:rRNA from 1 species